rnacentral:rRNA from 2 species
GUGCUAAUCUGCGAUAAGCGCCGGUAAGGUGAUAUGAACCGUUAUAACCGGCGAUUUCCGAAUGGGGAAACCCAGUGUGACUCGUCACACUAUCAUUAACUGAAUCCAUAGGUUAAUGAGGCGAACCGGGGGAACUGAAACAUCUAAGUACCCCGAGGAAAAGAAAUCAACCGAGAUUCCCCCAGUAGCGGCGAGCGAACGGGGAGGAGCCCAGAGCCUGAAUCAGCAUGUGUGUUAGUGGAAGCGUCUGGAAAGGCGCGCGAUACAGGGUGACAGCCCCGUACACAAAAGCGCAUGUGCUGUGAGCUCGAUGAGUAGGGCGGGACACGUGGUAUCCUGUCUGAAUAUGGGGGGACCAUCCUCCAAGGCUAAAUACUCCUGACUGACCGAUAGUGAACCAGUACCGUGAGGGAAAGGCGAAAAGAACCCCGGCGAGGGGAGUGAAAAAGAACCUGAAACCGU